AUGUCUGUAUUUGAACCUGGACCUAAAGUUUUAGAUUCAAAAGCCAUCACUUUAUCUUUCAGCUCCCCUCCAGGGUCUCCAGCACCAUAUGGCCAGCACUUGUCACAGGUGGCAGGCAUUUGGCUCCUUCAUAAGCACUGCUCCAGCUGUACCUACAGGCUUCUAGAGCUUGAAAGAAACUGCUCCUUUGGGCUCACUCCUCAGGAGGUUCUGCUUGAGUUCCUCCUGUUGUCUGGAUUCUGGAAUCUUGGCAAUGUCUGCAGAGUUGAUCUUCAAGAUGGCAGCGGAUAUGACUCAUAUCAGUGGAUAUGUCUAUCUGAUGUGGUUCCUCAUCCUUCCUAAGGGAAAGUUUGGAAGGAAGAAAAGGAGAAGGAAAAUCAAGUCUUUUCUUCAGUUUUUAUGGUUUCAGAAAGAGAUGACCAAAGUGCACCACCAUCACCAAAUUAUGUGAAAAUUAUCCACACACAAGUUGACAGUCUGAAAAUUUAUCUAACAGACAGCAUUUGAUUUUAAUACUGCACAUUAAGCGGAACACUGAAACAUUUCUUAGAGUACAGUUUUCUUUUACACUUCUGCUAUGAGGUCCAGACAAAGCUAUGUUCUCCUAGGCUAAAAAAUGAAUGCUUUACUAAAAGAGAAUGGAUGCAGUUCUCUGAGCUAUUUUACUUCCUGAUUUGGUAAAUACAUCUGAUAGCUUACAUUAUUAAAACUAAUUACACCAUUCAAGUGUUUGUCUGAAGUAAGGUCCUAUACAUUACUGAGUUCAUCUUUUCCUGAACACGAAACAAGAUUAGAGCUUCACAGAAAGAAUUAUCAGUUCUGAUCUGGGUCAGUAUGAUGCAAUAUUUCUUCCUUAUUUUGAUUUUUUUUUCUUUUACAUAUAAAGUUAGAUUCUCUAUUGGAUUUGUUACUUUUGCAAAUUUUACUACGUAUGGAAUCUGUAUGCAUAUACAAGUGCAAACUACUUGUUAACCUUCAUUUUGAAAAAACUUUUUCCAUGUAGAUUAAGUCAGGUUUUGACUUGUGUGACUGCAGAAUAACUCAAUUCAGCUCAGUGGUACUAAUCUAGUGGGUUUAUAUUAAUGGAAAUGACAGCGGAAUUUGUCUACCCAAGACUGAUACAAAGAUUCAGUAACAGCUGGCCAAAGUUUCUCUAAGUGGAUUUUCAGCUUUUUUCAAGGCCAGCGUGAUAAGAAGGCAUAGGUUGAAAUAAGGGUAGCCACUCAAGCAUCAGAGAAAAGAAUGAUAGAUGUAACUUCUUAUACAUACAUUACUGUAUAAGUUUUUAUGUAAUUAGUUAAUUUUAAAUAUUUAAAAACUAUGAAAAUCACCUUAAUAGUGAAUUAUCUAUGGCAAGUAAAUAUGAAAAUUAAGUGACUGAAUGAAGAGAUAACUUCCUAGAUCUGUGCAAAGUCAUUUGUGCACACAUGUCUAUUUGCAUGGAGGAAAAAAUCCCUCCAACUGUAAGCAAAGAGUAAGUGCGAGACCACCUGAGGAGGCUGAAUCUGUACAAGUCUAUGCAGCUGGAUGACAUGUAUCCCAUGGUCCUGAAGGAACUGGCUGUUGUAGUUGCCAAGCCACUCUCCUCAUAUUUGAAAAGUCAUGGCUCUCAAGUGAAGACCCUCGUGACUGGAAAAAGGUAACCAGUCACUCCCAUUUUUAAGAAAGGAAGAAAGGAAGGCCCAGUGAACUACACUCUGGGGAGCAUCACAUCUGUGCCUGGGAAGAUCAUGGAAGAGAUCCUCCUGGAAUAGAUGUUAAGGCACAUGCAAGAUGAAGAAGGUAAUUUGAGACAGCCAGCAUUAUUUCACCAAAGGCAGAUCAUGACUGACCAAUCUGGCGGCCUCCUGUGAUGAAGUGAUGGCAUCGAUGAACAAAGGAAAAACAACUGAUGUCAUCUUCCUGGACUUCUGCAAGGCCUUUGAUAUGGUCCAGAGACACAUCCUUAUUUCUAAAUUCGAGAGAUAUGGAUUUGAUGGAUGGACUAUUCAGUGGAUUAGGAUCUGACUGAAUGGUUGUAGCCAGAGAGCUCUAUGUCCAGGUGGAGGCCAGUCAUUAGUAGUGUCCUGCUGGGGUCUGUCUUGGGACAUCCUUAUCAAUGAUAUAGACAGUGGGAUUGAGUGCACUCUCAGCAUAUCUGCAGAUGACACUAAACUGAGUGUUGCAGUUGAUAUAUCAGACAGGAGGGAUGCCAUCCAAAUGGACCUAGACAAGUGUGAAAAUGGGGCCUAUGUGAACCUAAUGAGAUUCAGUAAGGCCAAGCGAAAGGUGCUGCACUUGGGCUGGGGCAAUCCCAGAUAUCUGUACAGACUGGGAGAAGAACUCACUGAGAGCAGCCCUGUGGAGAAUUUGGAGGUUCUGAUGGACAAAAAGCUUGACGCAAGCCAACAGUGUGCUCUUGCAGCUUGGAAGGUCAACAGUAUCCUGGGCUACAUCAAAAGAGGGGUGCCCAGCAGGGAGAAUGAGGGGAUUAUCCUCCCUCGUGAGACCCAGCUAGAGUACUACAUCCAGAAGACUGGCGCCUAGCAUAAGAAAGAUAUAGAACUGUUGGAAAAGGGCCAGAGGAAGCUAUGAAGAUGAUCAGAGGUCUGGAGAACCUCUCCUGUGAAGAAAGGUUGAGUGAGCUGGGCUUGUUUAGCUUGGAGAAGGUUCUGGGGAGAUCUCAUUGUGGCCUUCCAGUGCUUGAAGGCAGCUUACAAACAGGAGGAGAGAGAUCAACAUUUUACAUGGACAGAUAGUGAUAAUACUAGGGGGAAUGGCUUAAAACAAAAAGAGGAGAGGUUUGAAUUAGAUUCUAGGGGCAAUAUUUUUACUCAGAGUGUGGUGAGAUAGUGGCGUAGGCUGCCUGGAGAAGUUGUGGAUGUACUUCUUUAUUAUGCAUUGUAAUAUAUAAUAUGUAUUUAUUAAUUUAUAAAUUAUUAUAUAAUUUAUAAAAUAAAUUAUUAUAAAUGAAUAUACA
rnacentral:lncRNA from 1 species